rnacentral:lncRNA from 1 species
GGUUAAUCUGUCUCUGCUUGAAAUCUGGUUUUUUAGGUGAAAUCUGUUCUGUUGUAUCUAUUUAUCAUGUUUUUUUCUCAGACCUUUUCAGUUCAAAAAGCAGUGAAGAUUUUGAAACUUAUUUUACACUUUUAUAAUGGUUAAAUCACCAAAGAUAUUGUGCAAUAUAUAUAGAAUAAGUGAUCUUAGAAAGAACUGAUCUUAGAAUAUAUUUAUAGGUAAUAGGAUUUUAAAGAAUUUCUGAGGCAUUUUGGAGGAGAUAUAUAUAUAUAUAUAUAUACAAAGGUACCAUCUAAAACGGUUUUGAGAAAUUUGAUAAUUUUUUUUUCAUUAGUGUGAAUUAUUCCAAACUACACAAAAGGACUAGAUGAAGUCUGCUUAGGCAUUCAUUAAAAUUACUGCAUCACACAUACCAACUGAAAUGAUUGAAACCUUUCAAAGCUCAUGCUUACAGUAAGUGGAGAAAACACACAUUAUUAUCUAUCUUCUGCACGGGACAUGAAGACAUGAAAAUCAAGGUUAAAUUCAUUAGAAUGAACUUAAUUCCUGAAAAAAGUUAAUAAAUUAAUUAGGUAAGGGGGAGAAGUAUGGCUAAGACUGGAAUACGCUGUUUUUGAGCAUGUGUAACUUCAAGCUAAAGAAUGCUUCGUUAAGAAUAAACAUCUUUCCCCUCUGUCGAAUACCUCUUUUUUUUUCAGUUUUUGUCAUGAUCUUCACUCAUGGUGAUGCUAAAGAAAAGAACAAAUGAUCACACCGACUGUUAUUCAAAUGUAUAAUAUAGCAUCGUCUUCAACACAGCAUCAUGCCAAGAUCCCCCAAUUCUUGCCAUAACGAACUCUUGUAUACACUUCCUGAAUGAAAUCUGAGGUAAGGUCUUUCUAAUCUAUCUAUACAAAUAAGAAACGUCUUUCAGGGCUCAGCUGCCAUCCUAAUUUUCAGCUGUAAUUAUGUCAACAUUCUUUUAUCUCUGAGCAAAGCAAAAUGUUAC